rnacentral:rRNA from 1 species
GAUGAACGCUAGCGGCAGGCUUAACACAUGCAAGUCGAGGGGUAUGCUUCUUCGGGAGCAGAGACCGGCGCACGGGUGCGUAACGCGUAUGCAAUCUGCCUUUUACAGGGGGAUAGCCCAGAGAAAUUUGGAUUAAUACCCCAUGGUAUUAUAGGGUGGCAUCACCUUAUAAUCAAAGUCACAACGGUAAAAGAUGAGCAUGCGUCCCAUUAGCUUGUUGGUAGGGUAACGGCCUACCAAGGCUACGAUGGGUAGGGGUCCUGAGAGGGAGAUCCCACACACUGGUACUGCGACACGGACCAGACUCCUACGGGAGGCAGCAGUGAGGAAUAUUGGUCAAUGGGCGCAAGCCUGAACCAGCCAUGCCGCGUGCAGGAUGACGGUCCUAUGGAUUGUAAACUGCUUUUGUACGGGAAGAAACACUCCUACGUGUAGGAGCUUGACGGUACCGUAAGAAUAAGGAUCGGCUAACUCCGUGCCAGCCGCCGCGGUAAAAC